UAUAGACCCCUUACAGAAACAAACAAACAAAACAAACAACAAACAAACAAACACACACACACACACACACACACACACACACACAAUCAUAAUUUUAAGGGGGGAAAGACCGUUUACAAUUGCUUUUUAAAAGCAAUUGAUUUAUAUUGUAAAACGGCAAUUUUAACCAUUCUGUUCCGUUUAUAUAAAAAAAAAAAAAAUCUCCCUGGGACCCCCUUUUGCCCCCCCCUUUUUUACCUCCACUUUACAAUGAAUGUAGCUUGGUGCUUAUAUAUGCCCCAUCAAUGGAUAAGAACGAC
rnacentral:lncRNA from 1 species